rnacentral:rRNA from 1 species
AUUGAACGCUGGCGGCAGGCCUAACACAUGCAAGUCGAGCGGAUGAAGGGAGCUUUUUCCUGGAUUCAGCUGCGGACGGGUGAGUAAUGCCUAGGAAUCUGCCUGGUAGUGGGGGAUAACGUCCGGAAACGGGCGCUAAUACCGCAUACGUCCUGAGGGAGAAAGUGGGGGUUCUUCGGACAUCACGCUAUCAGAUGAGCCUAGGUCGGAUUAGCUAGUUGGUGGGGUAAAGGCCUACCAAGGCGACGAUCCGUAACUGGUCUGAGAGGAUGAUCAGUCACACUGGAACUGAGACACGGUCCAGACUCCUACGGGAGGCAGCAGUAGGGAAUAUUGCACAAUGGGCGAAAGCCUGAUCGAGCAAUGCCGCGUGAGUGAUGAAGGUCUUCGGAUUGUAAAGCACUUUAAGUAGGGAGGAAGGGAAGUGAGUUUAUAUAUUGACGUCUUGACGUUACCAACAGAGAAAGCACCGGCUAACUUCGUG